GCUCCUGUUGCCUAAUGGAUAAGGCGUUGGCUUCCCAAGUCAAAGACUGUGGAUUCAAGUGUCACCGGGGACG
rnacentral:tRNA from 1 species